rnacentral:lncRNA from 1 species
GCCAGAGAGGGAGUCGGUGUGGACGCGAGGAGCCGGGCGCUUAGAACAGAGGCUUGCACAGGUGGAGAUGUGGAAGUCUGUAGUGGGCCAUGAUGUGUCUGUUUCCGUGGAGACCCAGGGUGAUGAUUGGGACACAGAUCCUGACUUUGUGAAUGACAUCUCUGAAAAGGAGCAACGAUGGGGAGCCAAGACCAUCGAGGGGUCUGGACGCACAGAACACAUCAAGUAGCUGUGGCUGUAUAUGAUUACCAAGGAGAGGGAAGUGAUGAGCUUUCCUUUGAUCCGGACGACGUAAUCACUGACAUUGAGAUGGUGGACGAGGGCUGGUGGCGGGGACGUUGCCAUGGCCACUUUGGACUCUUCCCUGCAAAUUAUGUCAAGCUUCUGGAGUGACUAGAGCUCACUGUCUACUGCAACUGUGAUUUCCCAUGUCCAAAGUGGCUCUGCCUCCACCCCCUCCCUAUUCCUGCUGCAAAUGUCUAACCAGAUGAGGUUCUGGACAGACUUCCCUCUCCUGCUUCAUUAAGGGCUUGGGGCAGAGACAGCAUGGGGAAGGAGGUCCCCUUCCCCAAGAGUCCUCUCUAUCCUGGAUGAGCUCAUGAACAUUUCUCUUGUGUUCCUGACUCCUUCCCAAUGAACACCUCUCUGCCACCCCAAGCUCUGCUCUCCUCCUCUGUGAGCUCUGGGCUUCCCAGUUUGUUUACCCGGGAAAGUACGUCUAGAUUGUGUGGUUUGCCUCAUUGUGCUAUUUGCCCACUUUCCUUCCCUGAAGAAAUAUCUGAACCUUCUUUCUGUUCAGUCCUAAAAUUCGAAAUAAAGUGAGACUAUGGUUCACCUGU